ACGGAGGAUCCAAGCGUUAUCCGGAAUCAUUGGGUUUAAAGGGUCCGUAGGCGGGCCUAUAAGUCAGGGGUGAAAGUUUGCCGCUCAACGGUAAAAUUGCCUUUGAUACUGUAGGCCUUGAAUCAUGGUGAAGUGGCUGGAAUGUGUAGUGUAGCGGUGAAGUGCAUAGAUAUUACACAGAACACCCAUUGCGAAGGCAGGUCACUAACCAUGUAUUGACGCUCAGGGACGAAAGCGUGGGGAGCGAACAGGAUUAGAUACCCUGGUAGUCCACGCCGUAAACGAUGGAUACUAGCUGUUGGGAGCAAUCUCAGUGGCUAAGCGAAAGUGAUAAGUAUCCCACCUGGGGAGUACGUUCGCAAGAAUG
rnacentral:rRNA from 1 species